UACGAAGGGUGCAAGCGUUACUCGGAAUUACUGGGCGUAAAGCGUGCGUAGGUGGUUUUUUAAGUCCGUUGUGAAAGCCCUGGGCUCAACCUGGGAAUGGCAGUGGAUACUGGAAAGCUAGAGUGCGGUAGAGGGUAGUGGAAUUCCCGGUGUAGCAGUGAAAUGCGCAGAUAUCGGGAAGAACACCCGUGGCGAAGGCGGCUCUCUGGGACGGUACUGACGCUGAGACGCGAAAGCGUGGGGAGCGAACAGG
rnacentral:rRNA from 1 species